GUUUCUCUCCAGAAUGGAUCCUUUUAUGGGAAAUUUAGGUUCUAACAGGCCCAAUCCUGUAGCUCUCAAGACCUUACGAAGAGGCUGGAUGCUGGAGUCUCCUAAAAGAGCGCCAUUCAAAAGCUGCCAAAUCCCUGUUCUGGUAUCAGGGCUUCUGCACUAUCCUUCAGUUUAUUAGAUCUCAUCCAGCUAAAGAUUCAAAUCAAGAGUCACUUCCCUGGAAACUAAAGAAAACCAAACUAUUACUUCAUGUGAUUAGGAUAUUAUCAUUACACACCAAAUUCCUGAUUACCUCCAUGGCUUUUUUCUUUCCUACAGUGGAGCAAGCUUUCCUGGAGUGGCAUUCUCCUCUAUCCAGAAGACAGCACAAAAGCUUUUGAUGGAUGUUUUAAAUGAAUGACAACAUAUCUUAAGGUUUCUCCUUUGAUGUUCAAAUGAUAUGGAGCAGGUACAAAUAAAGGAGUUCUAAUAAUUUGGAACUUUGUGGAGCUCUGUCACCUUCAAAACCCACCAUUAGAAUACAGCAAUGUCCUCUGUAAAAUUGAGGCCUCUGCCAGAAUAGUUAUUAUUAGGUCUCCUGUGCUUUCAGUGCCCAAGUGAUCAUGGGCAGAAAGAAAAAGAAUAGUUUCUAUGUGCCCAUUAGAGGUAUGGACAUCUGUUGUGGUAGGUGAGGACAUUUCAACAUGUGUAACAUGUCAUGCCAUACUUCCACAAUGGUGAUGAGCUGUCAUCCUCUCAUUUCUUUGGAGAAGAAGAGCCCAAAAGCUACAGUUUUUUGAUAAGUUUUCAAUUUAGUUCUUCCAUUUCCAGUUAUUGAGAGUUCUUUAUUUGACCUGAGUACUCACCAAAGAAAGAAAUGGAAUACAAAUCAGACAAAUGAACAUUACACACAAAGCUCUCAUCUGUUUUGUGAACCUCCUUUGCACACUGCUUCACCCUGGAUGGAUCAUUUACCAUUGCUUUCCCUUGGAUUAUGUCCCUUGGAGAACAAAUCCUUCACAAGGAUCUUGCAGAAAGUUAUGUAUGCGGUUCACUUAAGAACUUGAUGCUCUUAUGCUGAUCCUGAUCCAGCGCCCCAAAUAGUUGCUUGAAGGAACCAGCUCCUUCUCUAGCAGAGAGGAUGUCCAAUUGAGGGCUGAGAAGGAUAAUGUCUUACAGGUGCCAGACUGUUCAAUAUUCCUUGCUAACUUGGAUUUCCAUCCUCUUUAAGAAAACUCUGAAUCCUUGGCACAAAGGAGGGUCUCAUGAAAGUACUACAGUAAAUGCUUCCCAGGGAUCUUGUUUCAGAAUUUUUCUCUUUUUCUGAACUGCCACAUACUGAGUCAAUGGCUUCACUGAGGUCUCCAUUAUGACCCAAGAACUUUCCCCUACCUAAGUACAGUUCAGGCCUCAACAAUGUGGAUGUCAAGUUAGGAACUUAUUCCCCAGUACACCUCAUUUUCAAUGUUCUUCAAGGGAACUGCACUGACCACUAAGUUGACUGUCCAUUCUCAAAUUCCUCACAAUCACUUUUGUUUUCACUAUCUUGAGUACUUCAAUAUCAUCUACAGGCUUGGCCAAGCCAUGGCUUAUCAAGAAAACUAACAGCCAUUGCAUUUUCUCCCAAUGGUUUCUGACUAAGUGGUUGACCAAAGUAGAGUCUCCAAUUACAUACCCAAUUCUGGGUUAUUACUGCCCUUCCAAUAAAUGUGGGGAUGGCUCACAUAUCUGUGUGCAUAGGUGCGACUGUCAAAAGUCACACUCCAAAAAAGACAGGCCCAGAAAAAAAAUAUAUAAUUUUUUUUUAAUAAAAUGUAAUAUGGAAGCGAAUUGAUUCUUAUUUACAUGCAUUUACAUGCACCAACUAAUAUCUCUCACACCCAACAUGUACUUUCCAUCUUCCAACAGAAACAACACUACCAGAGAUUGGGGAAGUGUAAUUUUGCUGGAAAUGGGGGGGGGGGGGGGGGA